GCGGUGGCCGUGUACUCGUGGCAGGCGUCCGGGUCGAGGAGGGCGUCCUCACCGAAAUGGGCGCCGUCGGCGAGGACCGCGAUGGCGAUCUCCCCGCCGUACUUGCCCUCACCGGACUGGCUGAUCCGCCCGUCGGCGAUCAGAUGGAUGCGGUCGGCCGGGCUGCCGCGCGAGGCGAUGACCUCGCCGGCGGCGAAGUCGCGCUGGGCGCAGCGGUCGGCGAGCGCGGUGAGGACGUCCAGGUCCUCGAAGCCCCGCAGCAGGGCCAGUUCGCCGAGUUCCCGGGGGAUCACCCGGACCGUGGCUCCCUCCUGCACGAACUCGAUGCGACCGUCGCCGAGGGUAUGGCGCAACCGCCGGUUGACCCGGUAGGCGCCGCCCUUGGUCUCGACCCAGGGGAGCAUCCGCAGCAGCCAACGGGAGGUGAUCUCCUGCAUCUGCGGGGCGGACUUCGUGGUGGUGGUGAGGUUGCGCGCGGCGGCGGUGCUCAGGGACUGCUGCGGCGCGGCUG
rnacentral:antisense_RNA from 1 species